rnacentral:rRNA from 1 species
ACUCCUACGGGAGGCAGCAGUGGGGAAUUUUGGACAAUGGGGGAAACCCUGAUCCAGCCAUGCCGCGUGAGUGAUGAAGCCUUUAGGGUUGUAAGCUCUUUCACCGGGGAAGAUAAUGGCCGGACCCGGAGAAGAAGCCCCGGCUAACUUCGUGCCAGCAGCCGCGGUAAUCAUCCGUGCCAGCAGCCGCGGUAAU